GACGAACGCUGGCGGCGUGCUUAACACAUGCAAGUCGAACGGAAAGGCCCUGCUUGCUUGGGGUUCUCGAGGGGCGAACGGGGGAGUAACACGUGAGUAACCUGCUCUUCUCUUUGGGAUAACUUCAGGAAACUGGGGCUAAUCUCGUAUAGGAGCCCCUGCUGCGUGGUGGGGGUUGGAACGUUUCGGCGGUUGGGGAUGGACUCGCGGCUUAUCAGCUUGUUGGUGGGGUAGUGGCUUACCAAGGCUUGGACGGGUAGCCGGCCUGAGAGGGUGACCGGCCACAUUGGGACUGAGAUACGGCCCAGACUCCUACGGGAGGCAGCAGUGGGGAAUAUUGCACAAUGGGCGGAAGCCUGAUGCAGCGACGCCGCGUGCGGGAUGACGGCCUUCGGGUUGUAAACCGCUUUCGCCUGUGACGAAGCGUGAGUGACGGUAAUGGGUAAAGAAGCACCGGCUAACUACGUG
rnacentral:rRNA from 1 species